AGAGUUUGAUCCUGGCUCAGGAUGAACGCUGGCGGUAUGCUUAACACAUGCAAGUCGAACGAGAGUUUUUAACUCUAGUGGCGAACGGGUGCGUAAUACGUGAGAAUCUGCCCUUAGGAGAAGAAUAACUACUGGAAACGGUAGCUAAGUCUUCAUAUGCCGAGAGGUGAAAUAGUUUUAACUGCCUAAGGAUGAGCUCACGCCUGAUUAGCUUGUUGGUGAGGUAACGGCUUACCAAGGCCACGAUCAGUAGCUGGUUUGAGAGAACGAUCAGCCACACUGGGACUGAGACACGGCCCAGACUCCUCCGGGAGGCAGCAGUGAGGAAUUUUCCGCAAUGGGCGAAAGCCUGACGGAGCAAUACCGCGUGAGGGAUGAAGGAUUUUGGUCUGUAAACCUCUUUUCUCAAGAAAGAAGUUCUGACGGUACUUGAGGAAUAAGCAUCGGCUAACUCCGUGCCAGCAGCCGCGGUAAUACGGGGGAUGCAAGCGUUAUCCGGAAUCAUUGGGCGUAAAGCGCCUGUAGGUUGUUUAGUAAGUCUGUUGUUAAAGACCAGGGCUUAACCCUGGGAAAGCAAUGGAAACUACUAGACUUGAGUAUGGCAGGGGUAGAGGGAAUUUCUAGUGUAGCGGUGAAAUGCGUAGAUAUUAGAAAGAACACCGGCGGCGAAAGCGCUCUACUGGACCAUUACUGACACUCAGAGGCGAAAGCUAGGGGAGCAAAAGGGAUUAGAUACCCCUGUAGUCCUAGCCGUAAACGAUGGAUACUAGAUGUUGCGCAAUUUGUGCAGUAUCUUAGCUAACGCGUUAAGUAUCCCGCCUGGGGAGUACGCUCGCAAGGGUGAAACUCAAAGGAAUUGACGGGGGCCCGCACAAGCGGUGGAGCAUGUGGUUUAA
rnacentral:rRNA from 1 species